rnacentral:rRNA from 1 species
GAUCCUGGCUCAGGACGAACGCUGGCGGCGCGCUUAACACAUGCAAGUCGAACGGAGCGAACGGAAAGAAGCCUUCGGGCGGAAUUCCGUGAGCUUAGUGGCGAACGGGUGAGUAACGCGUGAGCAACCGGUCCCAAAGAGGGGGACAACUUUGAGAAAUCAAGGCUAAUACCGCGUAAGGCCACACUGCCGCAUGGCAGAGGGGUCAAAGGAGAAAUCCGCUUUGGGGAGGGCUCGCGUCUGAUUAGGUUGUUGGUG